CCCAGAGGUUACCUGCAAAGUACCAUAGCUAUCCUGUGACCAGGCUCUAAGCUUCUCUGAUAAUAGCAGAGUUCAUGUUAGGAGCCAGCGUGAAAGUUUCUCCAGGAGACUGCAGAGCACACCAUCUUGCCCUGUGGAGCCAGGAAGCAGUGCUUAAAGUAAGGACUAGAAUUCCCCCAAAGUGAAACGGCAAACCUCAGUCCUCUGAUGAUAACUUCCAACAAUUCUCUAAUGGACCAUACCCAUCCAGCACCACGCUGAUUUUGUUCAGCUGCAUGUUAUAAGGUGACUGUCAGGGAUCAAUCCACCACAAACAGUGAUAUAAAAUAAUCAUUGUAUCCUAUCAAAUCUGUGGGUCAGUGUAUCACUGCCUGACAUGAGUAAUUCAUCUUAGAAGUUAUAACUCUAAUUUUAAUGUCAUGAAUUAGGAAUGAGAAUUCUUUAGGCUUUUCCCCCUGGAAUAUUCAGGCAGUUUUUUUUUAAUAAUCUGUGUAGACUCAAAUAAUUCUGUGUACAAAUGAGUGACCCAGAGAGAAAAACACAGAGGGAUUAUGAGAAUAAUGUUGGAGAAAUUAGUCAAUAUUAAGUAUCCAAAAAGAAGAUUAAUAUCUGGCCUCCCCCAUAUUAGAAAAUUCCACAAGGAAUUUUUGAAGAUAGCAUAAAUGCUACAGUAUCUGAGAUUUUUCUGUUAGCAUUUAAACUUUUCCCACUGUAUCCUCAGGUGAUUACUGAGAAGGAAACUACACCAUUGCUGCUGCCAACACUUCAUCAAAA